rnacentral:rRNA from 1 species
GAUGAACGCUGGCGGCGUGCCUAAUACAUGCAAGUCGAGCGAAGGGACGAGAAGCUUGCUUCUCUGAUGUUAGGGGCGGACGGGUGAGUAACACGUGGAAAACCUACCUAUAAGACUGGGAUAACUUCGGGAAACCGGAGCUAAUACCGGAUGAUAUUUUGAACCGCAUGGUUCAAAAGUGAAAGACGGUCUUGCUGUCACUUAUAGAUGGAUCCGCGCUGCAUUAGCUAGUUGGUAAGGUAACGGCUUACCAAGGCAACGAUGCAUAGCCGACCUGAGAGGGUGAUCGGCCACACUGGAACUGAGACACGGUCCAGACUCCUACGGGAGGCAGCAGUAGGGAAUCUUCCGCAAUGGGCGAAAGCCUGACGGAGCAACGCCGCGUGAGUGAUGAAGGUCUUCGGAUCGUAAAACUCUGUUAUUAGGGAAGAACAUAUGUGUAAGUAACUGUACACAUCUUGACGGUACCUAAUCAGAAAGCCACGGCUAACUACGUG